AAACACAGUACCCAUGCCUGGUGAUUUCCAACAGUCAAAGGGGACUGUCUCACUGGCGCUACAGCAGCUGCCACCUAACACAGGCACCUGCACGUUGCUACAGAAAGAAGACUGGCCCUGGAUAUAA
rnacentral:lncRNA from 1 species